CUGACUUUAGGACUUGCUGCCUUCCCUAGCUGGCUGCUUUCAUCCUGACCUGCUUUGGGCUGUGUGAGCAACACCGUAAUGUGCCAGAUGGACAAGCUUUACAAAACUUCCUGCUGAGUGCUGCUCUGGAAAUGUCUGACAGAGGCUGCUGGGGUGAACUUUGUACACGUGGUCUGGCUGCAGGCCCUGUGGCUCUGUGUGCAGAGGUAUAACUCAGCAUAACUCGGAGUGUUUCCAUGAAAGGUUCAUGAAUCCAGGAGAGAAUAAUCUGAGAGCUUUUCGGCAUUCUUGGUGCAGCUUUUUUUUCCUGUAUUUUUUUUUUCGGCCAGCCGACAUAUGGCAGGAGGAUUAGAUCACUGCAAAGCACUGUUAUUUGUGACCCGUUUGUUAAUGCGGGGCGGGGGUCACUGACAAGAGACGAAUGUACUUGUCAUUGUUCAGUGCUUCUCGAGUGCUGCUCCUGUUGUCAGUCGCACCGUGGCCAGACAUUUGGAACAAACUCAUUAGCUGAUGAGCGGUGUGCUCAGCACCACGUGGUGGCAGUUGCUGUGUGGGCGAUGCUCACGUUAUGGCAGUGCAAGGCUCUCCUGGGGCUCCUUGGCAGCCACGUGGCUACAUGAGCUCGGGGGGCAGCCAUGGUUGGGGCAGGCUGCGCCUUGGCUGUGCUGGGAGAGCCUCCUGCAUGCCCAGCAUCACACUGCAGCUCUCUCCUUGCCUUUCUGCUCCUUAUGAUGCAAAGGCCCCUUUCCUCCCACUCGCUGCCUCCAUCUGCCUUCUCCACAUGGACUGCUCUGCUGCAGCAGUUACUGGGGAGACGCCGCGGUUAUCGCCUUCUGAUGCUGAACUCACUUUGCAAAUAAUGGCCUUGAACUCUGGCUCUGCCAACGGGGCUGAAAUGUGUGCUGUGAGCAACUUGAUAGAAUGUCAUGGGUCAACAACCAAGGUGUGGUGCAGCCUGUUCAGGGAGGACAGGACUAGAAUGGAAAGCUUGCCAAGCUGGAUUCUGGCUUUAAAACCACAAUUGGCUGCCAGCUGUGGCUAGUGUGCAAGGAGAGUUUUUGAUCUGCUGCAGAGAGUCUGUACUCACUGCAGCAUCCUCAGGAUUGUCCCAUUGCAGACUGGACAAAUCUCUCUUGGUACAGCUGCAAUAAUCUGGGGAACCUGGCCAGCCUAGCACCAACACAGUUUAAGGUGUUAACACAACUCUAGUAAAACAACAACUAAAAAACAACCCCUAAUUUCACUCAGGCAGCUUGUUUUGCCUGUACGGAGUGGCUUGAUCAAGUUGACAGAAAAUGCAGUAGUGUUGAUACAGGUGUGCCAGCUGCAGGAAUUCUCUGCUGGGUUUGUUUAUUUGUACACUUGAGCUGCAGGCACAGCCCUGGAGAUGCCUGAGAUGGAGCUGGAAGCACAGGGGAAGCUCCCACCUGUUUCUCAGAGAUCUGUCCAGAGGAGAGAGAAAGUUAGGCAUGAGAGAAGGCAGAAAGUAGACUCAUCUUCUGCACAUUUUACUUUAAACAAGAGCUUUCCUCUUGUUCUUCAGAGCUGUCAGCACCUAAUCAUUAGGCUUAAUGAACAUGCAUAGAAACAUUAGCUUUCCAUCACUGCUGUUUUUUCUAAAGACAAAAAGAGGGAAGUAUUCUUUCAGCUCCUGCUGAUAGUGUCAGAUGCUUGCAGAUGUUUUGUUUUUUCACCCAGAAUUUCAUUCUGCUGGGCUCCCCGAGCUCAAGGUUAACAACUAAGCUAUAUCACAGCUAGCUGCAGACUUGGCUUCCUAACUACCAGAUGGUAUUUGAAGCAUUUCGACUUGCAGCAUUUCUAAAACAAGUUGUUUUUAAUGCAGCUUACCCUGUGCUUUGCUGCAGUCCAUGUCCUUCUGUAUUUAAACCUGGAUCUGUCUCAGAUUGAGGUCAGUGGGAAUUCUGCUACCGGCUCUGAGGUGCAGGGCUGUAAGUUUGCCAUGCUUCUUUCUCUUGGAAAGCAAUACCUUAUAAACUGAAUUUUGCUCUGUUUCCUCUGUUUUAUAGUGUUUAAUAAGGUGAGAUUGCUCAGGAAUUUGGGUUUUAAAUGAGCAGUAGUGCUACCUGGAGCCAGCUGUAACAUGUCCCUCCCAGCCUCUGCUGACCUUUGCUGUCUCCAGUACAGCCACGUCCCAUUUCCUUGAAUUGUCCCACAGCUUUACGAUAGGAACAAACACUCAGAGAAGCACAAGGAGACCACUGACCUCCAACUCGUGAUCCUGGGCUCUGUGUCUCCAACAAGGGAAGGCCAUGAGCUACAGGCUGCCUGGCUCUCGCUACCACAGUCCUUUCUGCAUCCAGUUCCCCUCAAUGUGACCACGAAGGUCUCAGUACAGACCCCCCAUGAAGUGUCUCUAAAUCAGAA